CCGCCCGCGACCUCCUCCACUCCGUCCACCACGGCAGCAAGAUCUAUCAGGCCAUGCGAGGCCGGGACAGCCUCCUCCGCGAAUUCGCCGCCGUCAACGAGCGGAUCCAGGCCGCGCUGGACGAUCUUCCCUACAACGACUUCGACAUGCCCGAGGAGGUGCAGGAGCAGGUGGCGCUGGUGCACUCGCAGUUCAAGAGGGCGGCGACGAGGGCGGAGCC